CCUACGGGUGGCAGCAGUGGGGAAUUUUGCACAAUGGGGGAAACUCUGAUGCAGCGACGCCGCGUGAAGGAAGAAGUAUUUCGGUAUGUAAACUUCUAUCAGCAGGGAAGAAAAUGACGGUACCUGACUAAGCAGCCCCGGCUAACUACGUGCCAGCAGCCGCGGUCAUACGUAGGGGGCAAGCGUUAUCCGGAUUUACUGGGUGUAAAGGGAGCGGAGGCGGUUUAGCAAGUCAGACGUGAAAGCCGGGGGCUCAACCGCGGGAAUGCUUUUGCAACUGUUGGACUAGAGUGCAGGAGAGGUAAGUGGAAUUACUAGUGUAGCGGUGAAAUGCGUAGAUAUUAGGAGGAACACCAGUGGCGAAGGCGGCUUACUGGACUGUAAAUGACGCUGAGGCUCGAAAGCGUGGGGAGCAAACAGGAUUAGAUACCCGAGUAGUC
rnacentral:rRNA from 1 species